UACGGAGGGUGCAAGCGUUAUCCGGAUUCCCUGGGUUUAAAGGGUGCGUAGGUGUGAAUGUAAGUCAGUGGUGAAAUCUCCGUGCUUAACAUGGAAACUGCCAUUGGUACUAUGUUUCUUGAAUCUUCCGGAGGUCAGCGGAAUAUGUCAUGUAGCGGUGAAAUGCUUAGAUAUGACAUAGAACACCAAUUGCGAAGGCAGCUGACUACAGGGGCAUUGACACUGAGGCACGAAAGCGUGGGGAUCAAACAGG
rnacentral:rRNA from 1 species